rnacentral:rRNA from 1 species
GACGAACGCUGGCGGCGUGCCUAAUACAUGCAAGUCGAGCGAGAGCGACCGGUGCUUGCACUGGUCAAUCUAGUGGCGAACGGGUGAGUAACACGUGGGUAACCUGCCCAUCAGAGGGGGAUAACAUCCGGAAACGGAUGCUAAAACCGCAUAGGUCUUCGAGCCGCAUGGCUUGAAGAGGAAAAGAGGCGCAAGCUUCUGCUGAUGGAUGGACCCGCGGUGCAUUAGCUAGUUGGUGAGGUAACGGCUCACCAAGGCCGUGAUGCAUAGCCGACCUGAGAGGGUGAUCGGCCACAUUGGGACUGAGACACGGCCCAAACUCCUACGGGAGGCAGCAGUAGGGAAUCUUCCGCAAUGGACGCAAGUCUGACGGAGCAACGCCGCGUGAGUGAAGAAGGUUUUCGGAUCGUAAAACUCUGUUGUUAGAGAAGAACAAGUGCUAGAGUAACUGUUAGCGCCUUGACGGUAUCUAACCAGAAAGCCACGGCUAACUACGUG